CUGAUGUGAAAUAUUACCACAAAUUUAGAGGCUUAAACUAGCAAAGAUUUAUUACCUUAUAAUUCUGGAGGUCAGAAGUCCAAAAUGAGUCUCCCACAGAUAAAAUCAGGGUGUUGACAGGACUAUAUAAUAUCACCCUGACACUGCAUGUUUACCUCUUUUACAUUUAAAGGACCUUGUGAUUACAUUGGGCCCACCCAAAUAACCCAGAAUAAGAAUAAUCUUUUUAUUUUAAAGUGACCUUAUUAGCAACCUUAAUUUCACAUGUAGCCUUAAUUAUCCUUUUUCAUUGUAGCACAACAUAUUCACAGUUGAGAAAGGGACUUCUAGGAUACAGACAACUUUGGAGGGCCAUUAUUCUGCCUGCCACAGAGAUAUCAUCCAUAAGUGACUCGUCUCUAAAAAUUAAAGGAUAUGGCUGCUGUCCUUAAAAUCUUUCAAGCUGGCUGAGGAAUAAGAUUAUUGCUGGACAAUUUAUAAGUGAGCCCUCCUGAUACUAUUUUUUAAUGAAGAUGCCACAUACGCAAAUCCUAUUUUAUAAUGUGGAUAAAAGAAGAAGUGGUAAACUGUAUUAUAAAAUGAGUCUUCACUUUACAAAAAGCUUUAUCUAAGAUUCUUCAUGCAAUGAUUUUCUACAUGGUCAUUUUUUGUUUGCACUCAGAUAAAUAAACAGCUGCAGUCAAGGGCUGAGAGGCAUAGAUAAUUACAUGCAGGAUAUACGUUAUAUAAUCCAUCCAAAAUGAAGAUAAGGCAAUCUGAAAUGAGAGGUUUUUGUCUCCCGAGACAAUAAUUUGUACAGGAAAAUAAACAUUUUUUGGUUGUUUCCUGGAAUAUAUCUAAUUGUGAAAAUAAAACACACUUGCCAAUGAUAUGAAUAUCAUUUCACAGUAUGACAACAAAUGCUCCAUCUAAACUACUUAGGGAAUCCCUAACUGAUCCCCUGCCCCACCCCCA
rnacentral:lncRNA from 1 species